rnacentral:rRNA from 1 species
UACGUAGGGUGCAAGCGUUGUCCGGAAUUAUUGGGCGUAAAGAGCUUGUAGGCGGUUUGUCGCGUCUGCUGUGAAAUUUCGGGGCUCAACCCCGAACUUGCAGUGGGUACGGGCAGACUAGAGUGUGGUAGGGGGAGACUGGAAUUCCUGGUGUAGCGGUGAAAAUGCGCAGAUAUCAGGAGGAACACCGAUGGCGAAGGCAGGUCUCUGGGCCAUAACUACGCUGAGAAAGCGAAAAGCAUGGGGGAGCGAACAGGG